ACGAACGCUGGCGGCGUGCUUAACACAUGCAAGUCGAACGGAAAGGCCCUGCUUUUGUGGGGUGCUCGAGUGGCGAACGGGUGAGUAACACGUGAGUAACCUGCCCUUGACUUUGGGAUAACUUCAUGGAACUGGGGCUAAUACCGGAUAGGAGCUCCUGCUGCAUGGUGGGGGUUGGAAAGUUUCGGCGGUUGGGGAUGGACUCGCGGCUUAUCAGCUUGUUGGUGGGGUAGUGGCUUACCAAGGCUUUGACGGGUAGCCGGCCUGAGAGGGUGACCGGCCACAUUGGGACUGAGAUACGGCCCAGACUCCUACGGGAGGCAGCAGUGGGGAAUAUUGCACAAUGGGCGGAAGCCUGAUGCAGCAACGCCGCGUGCGGGAUGACGGCCUUCGGGUUGUAAACCGCUUUCGCCUGUGACGAAGCGUGAGUGACGGUAAUGGGUAAAGAAGCACCGGCUAACUACGUG
rnacentral:rRNA from 1 species